UGGGGAAUAUUGGACAAUGGGCGCAAGCCUGAUCCAGCCAUGCCGCGUGAGUGAUGAAGGCCCUAGGGUUGUAAAGCUCUUUCACCGGUGAAGAUAAUGACGGUAACCGGAGAAGAAGCCCCGGCUAACUUCGUGCCAGCAGCCGCGGUAAUACGAAGGGGGCUAGCGUUGUUCGGAUUUACUGGGCGUAAAGCGCACGUAGGCGGACUUUUAAGUCAGGGGUGAAAUCCCGGGGCUCAACCCCGGAACUGCCUUUGAUACUGGAAGUCUUGAGUAUGGUAGAGGUGAGUGGAAUUCCGAGUGUAGAGGUGAAAUUCGUAGAUAUUCGGAGGAACACCAGUGGCGAAGGCGGCUCACUGGACCAUUACUGACGCUGAGGUGCGAAAGCGUGGGGAGCAAACGGG
rnacentral:rRNA from 1 species